CAAAAACAUCGCCUCCUGCAACACAACCAAGUAUAGGAGGUCCAGCCUGCCCAGUGACUACAAGUUCAACGGCCGCGGUAUUUUGACCGUGCAAAGGUAGCGCAAUCACUUGUCUUUUAAAUAGAGACCUGUAUGAAUGGCUAAACGAGGGCUUAACUGUCUCCCCUUUCCAGUCAGUGAAAUUGAUCUACCCGUGCAGAAGCGGGUAUAAUAAUACAAGACGAGAAGACCCUUUGGAGCUUAAGGUACAAAACUCAACCACGUUAAGCAACUCAAUAAAAAGUGAAAACUUUGUGGAACAUGAGAUUUUACCUUCGGUUGGGGCGACCACGGAGGAAAAAAAAGCCUCCAGGUGGAACGGGAAAAUUUCCUAAAACUAAGAGAGACAUCUCUAAGCCACAGAACAUCUGACCAAAUAUGAUCCGGCUAAUACAAGCCGAUCAACGAACCAAGUUACCCUAGGGAUAACAGCGCAAUCCUCUCCCAGAGUCCAUAUCGACGAGGGGGUUUACGACCUCGAUGUUGGAUCAGGACAUCCUAAUGGUGCAGCCGCUAUUAAGGGUUCGUUUGUUCAACGAUUAAAGUCCUACGUGAUCUGAGUUCAGACCG
rnacentral:rRNA from 1 species